UUUUUGCUCCCGAGAUUUUUAAACUCGACCACUUGGCCGCAGGCUGGGUUGGCUCAAACUAUGCGUCCCUUGUUGGUGUUAGGAGCCGAAACUGGGUGGGCUCCGUGGGAGGAACCCAGAAUGGGGGUAACCUCGGGAACAGCGGGUGAAGGACAGGAACUUGACGAGGAAGCAUGAUUUAAAACGAAGCCUAGUGUGGCGAUGCAAGUCUGUGAUCCUACCUGAGAGGCGGAGGCAGGCGAAUCGGGAAUUCAUGAUCAUCUUCAGCGACAUACUUCCUUCAGAAAAACCACCCAGAGGAGCAGAAAAUGGAGCACAUGUUAAAGACUAGGUUCAGUGCUCAUGGAUCAGUAUGCUGCCCUCCAGAGGUCACCAGUCUGCAGUCGGUCUCACUGGGCUAAGCGAAGAUGAAGACUAAACUUCUAGAAACUCUACAGCCAUCCUGUUUCCCAUCCUUCCUAGCUUCUAGAAGCUUCCAGCAUUGUUUAACUGCUGAUCCUCCUGUAUCUUCAAAGGCAAGAUAAUGGUUUGUCCUUCUCCUGUGACCUCACUCUGACCUCACUUCUGUUGAUAGGCCUUUCUUUGAAUAUUCCCCCUCACCUAAUUUGGACAUUAUUUGGAAUUAAAUUGAUCCCACCAGGAUAGCUCUAUGUGACUUCUCUCUCUUUCCUUUUAUUAGGUAAGUGAAGUCCCUCUGCCACUGGAACUCCUUUGCCAUGAAUAUAGCAUGUUCCCAGGUCCUGAGCUAGGCUAUGGUCAUCUUUAUUUAUGCAUUAUCACUGUAUAUGUGUAUGAUUGUGGGUGGGGGUGUAGACAUCACACCUGUACAUAACUCAUGCUGGAGGAGAGAGGAUAGUUUUCAUAAAUUGGUUCUUUUCCUUGCCCCUUGAGUUCUCAGGAUCUAACUCCCUUCAUUAGGCUUGCAUGGCAGGCACUAAAUGUGGUCUCCUCUUGUUGUUGUUUUUUUAACUGAGAUGUCUUUAAGUUAUAAAUAUUAUAAUGAGGAAAAUCCAGGUCUACAGAACAAAGAAAUAACUAGAAGCUAGGAAGCUCGUAAAGAACAUGAGGCCAGGCUGUAUGGUACAGACCUGUAACGUCAGCUACUCUGGGAGUUAUGUCAGGAGGAUCAAAGGUUCAAGACCUGGCUGGACAACUUAUUGAGAUCUGUCUCAAAGGAAAAAUUGCUUGCCUAGACAAACUGUAGCUUCAGUAACAAAACAACAGUGUCGAAAUUACCUAUAAUAUUACUAUGCUGAAUCACUAUUACGUUUUUGUAUGUGUUUCCAAUCUUCCUGUCUUGUCCUUAGCAUGACUGUUUCUGGCAUUUUAGGUCUUGUUAAUUAAUCACGUAAGUGAAUCAGAGAUUCCAAAUGUGUCUCAAGGGAAACCCUUGUCAGCUAUUGGUCAUGUUAACCCAGGAGCAUGUGGGGAAACAGAGCUGACACGGUGAACUCUGUCUUCCUUAGGAAAACAUCACAUCUCUACUUUAUAGGAUAAAAUGUAUAUCAUUUGAAACAAUUCCCAAUGCAGCCAGCUAGCAAGAAACAGCUGGCUUGGGCCUGGAGCAAUAGCUCAGUGGCUAAAAAGACUGUUUUUAAAAAAAGAAAGAAAGAA